AAGGACGGGGUCGAGGCGCCGCGGACAUACGGUUGGUGCGGGUGUGGACCGCUUGAUGUGGGUCUAAAGCGUCCGGAGCCGGCCUAAAAAGUUACCUGGGGAAUCCGGUGGCCUAACCAUCGGGCAGCCUGGUGAUAGUAUUAGGCUUGGGACUAGGAGAGACCAGAGGUACUCAUGAGGUAGGAGUGAAAUCCUGUAAUCUUAUGAGGACCACCAGUGGCGAAGGCGUCUGGUUAGAAUAGGUCCGACGGUGAGGGACGAAGGCUGGGGGCGCAAACCGGAUUAGAUACCCGGGUAGUC
rnacentral:rRNA from 1 species